rnacentral:lncRNA from 1 species
CUGCUUUGAACUUUCUGCCUGCCAAAGUUUACAAUGAGUAUCUUGUCAUGGUCACAAUUUGCUACCCUAGUAAUAAGGUGCCCUUUGAUAUAGCCUCAUAUGCAGAGACAUAGGGAAAGAUUUCCUUUCCCAUCUAGUUUUUUUCCUUGCCUUGUUUAUUUAUUUUGCUUGUUUAUUUAUGGAUGCUUGCUACUUGAAGAGUUUGCCCCCUCAGAGAGAGACUGGUGCAUCUUUCCUUGGUGACCUACUUCCGUAAGCCCUUCCUCUUAUAAGCCAGUGAAGAUGUCUGCAAGUUUUUCAGAGCUGACAUCAGCAUACAUCACUGCUUUUGUCUCUCACUGUAGUGGGGCCUCAUCAGUGUGUAUGGAGUGAGUCACACAGAUGCACUGAUGGACUCUGAAGAAAGAAUCAAGAGCCAGCAGCAGGCAGAAAUGAGUAGGCCUUUCUAGUCCACUCAAAUGCAAAAGUGCUGGGACAAAGAAAGGAUUGAAAAUAGCUGUGCCUUGUUGGAGCGUGAGUGUUUUCUUCCAGUUAGGUAGCCACCCUUGGUCUCAAACAGAAUCUACAGCAACCUCAGAAGCUCAAAAUGACAUUUUUUAAGCUAGCCCACUUGACUAACAUUGCCCUGUAUUUGUUUUGCUGUGUUUUCCUCCCCAGAAAUGAAUUGGAAAGGCAAUACUUGGGUCUACUUGAAUUUAAUGUUAAUGUGUCUGCCAGUAUUUAUGCCAAAUACUACUUUGAUCUUCGCUCUUUAGCAAAUGAAAGCAACAUAUAUUUUGUGUUUGCACUUCUCACCAAAGAAAGAGCACAGAAACUAGAGGCCAUGUCAAGCUUGUGUGAGAACAAAGGCUUGUGCAGAGCUGCUAUGAGAAGAUGCUCCAGUGAUGGCAAUUUCACUGGUAUUUGUCUGUCCAAUGCUAUCCUCUCUUAAAAGGGGGAAAUGGGAGCUAUGAUAUCAUAAACCCCUCAUUUAGAAAAGAUGGAGAAAUAUCAUCUCUCUUGCAAAAAAAUCCAAAGUUAACAUUUUUACCAAAAGGAAAGAUCUUGAAUUUAAGAAAUGCCUGGACAAUGACAGUUGUACUGCAUGGGAAAUUAAGUGACCUUAUCAAAGCAGCAAAACACUGCCUGUCUUCAUUAUGUGAGCAGAGUUCCAAGUACUGCAAAGCAGAAGCUCCCAACUGAUACAGCCAUUUGCUUAUUUCGCAGUCCAGUGCAUGUGAACUCCAUGAGGUUUUUGCACUAAGAGUUUAAAUUUAAACUAGCUUAAAUUUUUCAUUAAUUUUUAAGAAAUAGAUUUAGAAAAUAGUACACAGAAUUUCAACUUUGAAGAUGACUAUUACAUGCAGGUUUUUUUGGAGAAAAUGCUACAAUUUAAAUUUGUUUUUCAUUUCCAUGUUUAUAUUUUUAAAAGAUAAUAAACUAUUUUUAUUAAAACACAGC